ACUUCAUGCAUGACCAGCAACAUAGAACAUAUCAUAAAUUCACAUUUAUUAACAAUAAACGAAAUCGUAACCGUUUCUCAUUUCACCAGCCUAUUAGUAUCUAUGGGGAUUCAUAGGAGUGUCCUUGCUACACGUGAACCCUUUCCCUUAAUAGUCUUAAUUACAUAGCCGAUCCCAUACCUCGUCCAGUAUGAGCACCAAGACAUUAAACCCCAAUACCCCGUCCGGUAUGAGGGUGAAGUGGGUCAUCCCCAUACCCUGUCCGGUAUGAGUGCCAAAUUACCAAGUCUCCAUACCCCGUCCGAUAUGAGACAACGUUUACGGUAGAGUUCUCUAUGAACCCAGUCCGUCCACCAUCUCCCAGGAUAUCUAGUGAGGCUGUCAUCUUAUUA
rnacentral:lncRNA from 1 species